GAAAACAUGGCGAAGGAAUUAGUGGGUGAAGAGGGUUCUGUUCAUGAGCAGCAUCAUGGAAAGGAUUUCGUAGACCCACCGCCGGCUCCAUUGUUGGACCUGAAAGAGCUGAAAUGAUGGCCAUUUUACAGAACUCUAAUUGCAGAGUUCGAAACCACGCUUCUCUUCCUUUAUGUCUCUGUGGCAACUGUGAUUGGGCGUAAGAGCCAAACUCACUCUUGUGCUGGUGUUGGCUUUCUCGGCGUUGCUUGGGCCUUUGGUGGAAUGAUUUUUAUCCUUGUUUAUUGCUCUUCUGGGAUUUCUGGAGGCCACAUUAAUCCGGCGAUG
rnacentral:misc_RNA from 1 species